rnacentral:tRNA from 1 species
GGCCUCGUAGCUCAGUGGACAGAGCACCGUGCAUGCCAAGCCGGAGGUCGAUGGUCCGAAUCCAUCCGAGGCUA